UAUCCAUAUAAAUAAAUUUCA
rnacentral:piRNA from 1 species